CACAAAAUAUAAAUAAAAAUAUUUUAUCAGUUUUUUCUUAUUAUAAUUAAAAAAGAACUGGAGACUAUAAAAGGGUAUGCAUGGAAGUCUAGAGAUCACAGAAAACACACACUUCAUUUCUUAAGAAAAAAGUUGUUGAAGUUUGAAGAGAUCAUGAGGGCAAUAUAUAUUAUCAGCAUCAUUAUAGUGAGCUUGAGCAUUUUCUCUUGUGGUGGGAAUGCUCGACUUCUUCCUGCUAAUAGAGAUUAUCCAUGGGCAAUGUUUGCCCUAAGGCUUCAAUGGCCAGCUGGAUUUUACGAGGUCAACAAUGACUGUGAUACAAAGUCUCUCCUCAACACAUUUACCAUUCACGGCCUUUAUCCCUAUAACGCGAAGGGGAUCCCAGUGUUAUAUUGUGACGGAACUGCCUUUGAUGUUAACUCUGUGAGUUCUCUCAGUCUGCAUUUAAUUUACUUCUUAAAAUCCUUGCUCUAUUGUCUAUUAAAUAUGUUUUUUUGUGGUAACAUUUAUAUAUAUCUUGAAGAGUUGGAUAUGUUUGUUUGAUAAAAAAAAUGAAAUUGUACAUGCAAUAUAUAUCCAUACAUACUCACAUAUGUUAAACUAAUUUCUCUCCUCCUUUAUUUUGAAAAUUAACAGGUAUCGGACUUUCAAGCAGAAAUGCAUCUUGCAUGGCCGAGUCAUGAAACUAAUACUGAGGACAAACAAUUCUGGGAACACGAGUGGAAUAAACAUGGAAGGUGCUCAGAAGCUUUGUUGAAGCAGACUGAUUAUUUUAGAACGGCGCUUGCUUUUAGAAAAGCAUUUGAUAUAAUUGGGCUACUAAACCAGGAAGGUAAACAUACCCAUUGAUAUAUAAUUAAAUAGUCUUUAAUUUGGUUCAUUAAUUGCUUCCUAAGGGAACUACGUACUUAAUUUAGAUUUUGUGGAUGAUUAAUUGAUAAUGUGAGUUUGAUGAGAUUACUAUUCAAAAAUGUGUAGGGAUUUACCCGAAUAACGACCUUUAUCGUCCUAAAAUGAUAAAAGAAGCAAUCAAAAAGCACUUGAAUGCUGUGCCAGAAAUCGAUUUCACCAAAAACGAAAACUCAGAAUAUGUGCUUACGGAUAUUAAUCUAUGUGUGAACCAACAAGCAACAAGGUUCGUAGAUUGCCCUACCGAUGACGCUACUGAUGACUACCGCCUCAAAUUCGUAAGACUACCUUCUAAAAUGAAAAUUGCGGAUCCGAGGACCAAUUCUAUAAUAUAGCACAAAUGGUACGGCUACAAAAUGGACUACUAUCUUGUUUAAUUAAUGCUUUUGGGAGUAUAUAUUAUCUAUGUAAAAUAGUUAUGAGUGCUAGGGUUGGCUAAUUAGUACUAUGAGGCCAACCUUUAGUAUCUCUUGAAUAAUGUCCAUGUAGCAAAAGUUUAUAGCACUCUGGCCUUGGUGUGUAUGGAUAAUUAUAAUAAAUGACUACUUUUAUCUGCAAAAAAAAAUAAAAUCCAAGUAUUUUCUUUUGUUUUUAUUUUUGAUAAGAAUUUAAUUUUAUGUAGUUUGAUGGCAUAGUUUAUCUAGGAAGCUGAUAUUUUCACAUGUUAAAAUGAUAUUUUCAAACGAGUCUCUCACAAUAUGGAUGUGGGACUUGCUCACUAUUCAUGUGAGAGGGAUUAUGUGAAAAUAUCAAAUUUUUAUGUGAAAAUAUUAGCUCCCUUUAUCUAUUAUAAUGGUGAAACAUGACUUUUUGAUAUUUUUCACAUGAAAAUCGUCGCUAUAGAUCCUUUAGUAGUGGUUUUUACUGUCGCUAUACAUCUCUAUAGCUACAUUUUUUAUAUAAAAAUAUCAAAAAAAUAUGUGGAAAUAUCAAGCAUGCAUGCAUCGUACCAGAAAACAUUUAAAGGGACACUUCAAAGGGAUUUCAGACAAAAAAUAAAACCAAAAAUAAAUGAUUUCAUCACAAUUUUGUUUUCAAGUAUUGUCGCAAAUCAGUGGUCACUAAAAAAAAAAAGGAAAAUAUAUUUGUCGCAAUCUAUAAAACAUGACUGAAAACAGGGGCGAAGCCACAGUUCAGGAUGUGUGGUCAAUUGAUUUCAUUGAAAAAUAUAUAUUUUAUAAUAUAUGAUAAAUUUAAAGAAUAUUUAAGUGUAAUAAAUAAAUUGACUUCAUUGAAAUUUUAUAACCUUUUUAAUAUACGGUGUUAAAUUGAAUUUUUUAUAACUUUCUCAAUUCUAUAUUAUUUCUACUCCUUGAUGUAUGCUUAUUUCUCUAAUAUUUUUAAAAUAAAUAAUAAUUUAAUUUAUAUUAUUUUUAUAUCAUAAGAAAUUUAAAUAUUUAUUAACAAAUUUAUGAUUAAAAAACGUAUUAGGGGUCAAUAAGGAGUUUUUUUGUGUGUGUGUGUGUGUGUGUGUGUAUAUAUAUAUACAUGUUGUUUCAUUUUAUGUCUUUAGGUUUAGUUUAUCAGGAUACUAGGUAGAUUAUUUCAUUUGGGUCUCUCUUGAGCCUUAAUUUUAGGUUGCCCUCUUUUAUAAAGAGGAUGAUUCGAUUUCAACUGCUGACAUCUGUACCAGUUGGUUCAUGGACAAGUUUCUUUUGAUAAGUUAGUAUCAUGGACAAAUAUAAAUAAUAAUUAACUGUUACAAUGAAAAUUAAACUUCAAUUAAGUCUAGGCCAUUCAUACAUUGAAAAAAGCUUCUUGAAUAGGUUAGAGAGUUUGUGAAAUAUUUUUUUAGUUUGCUUAACCCUUUGAAAAGCGGUUGUGGUAAGAACAAAUAUUGAUAAGUUAUUGAAACACCGCUUUUCAAAGGGUUAAGCAAACUAAAAAAAUAUUUCACAAACUCUCUAACCUAUUCAAGAAGCUUUUUUCAAUGUAUGAAUGGCCUAGACUUAAUUGAAGUUUAAUUUUCAUUAUAACAGUUAAUCAUUAUUUAUACUUGUCCAUGAUACUAACUUAUCAAAAGAAACUUGUCCAUAAACCAACUGGUACAGAUGUCAGCAGUUGAAACCGAAUCAUCCCCUUUAUAAAAGAGGGCAACCUAAAAUUAA
rnacentral:lncRNA from 1 species